AUGACCAAUUUAUGCAGAAAUCCAGGUAAUUCCAGAGGGUUCACAUACUUUUUCUUGCCACUGUAUUCUAGUCAUGGCUCAAAAGUAACUACUGGUAUACACACCUUUUCUAUUCACAUACUGUCCAUACUGUUUUUACACGCAUUCACAUACUGUCCAUACUGUUUUUACACGCAUUCACAUACUGUCCAUACUGUUUUUACACACAUUCACAUACUGAUCAUACUGCUUUUACACACAUUCACAUACUGUCCAUACGGGUUUUACACGCAUUCACAUACUGUCCAUACUGGGUUUUACACGCAUUCACAUACUGUCCAUACUGUUUUUACACGCAUUCACAUACUGAUCAUACUGUUUUUACACACAUUCACAUACUGUCCAUACUGUUUUUACACGCAUUUACAUACUGUCCAUACUGUUUUUACACGCAUUCACAUUUAGAUUCCGGACUCAGGUCUGGUAAGUAAUUUCCUGCAGUUCCAUUUUGAUAUGGGGUGUCGUGCUGUGUAUUUAUAUACUGUAUUCUUGACAUGGCUCAUUCUAAUAUUUCUACUGUACAUUACAUUUUAAUGACUGUUUAUAAACACUGCAUAUUUAUUCAUAUACUGAAUUCUUGACAUAGCUCACUCUAAUAUACAGUACCAGUCAAAAGUACACACCUACAGUACUCAUUCCAGGGUUUUUCUUGAUUUUUACUAUUUUCUACAUUGUAUAAUAAUAGUGAUGACAUCAACACUAUUAAAUAACACACACAUGGCAUCAUGUAAGCAAAAAAGUGUAUCCACCCUUUGCCUUGAAUUCUCUCAACUAUCUUGUGAAUCUGGUUGAGAGAAUGCAUUUCAAUUGUUAUUUUACCUUUAUUUAACUAGGCAAGUCAGUUAAGAACAAAUUCUUAUUUUCAAUGACAGCCUAGGAACAAUGGGUUAACUGCCUGUUCAGGGGCAGACCGACAGACUUGUCAGCUCGGGGGUUUGAACUUGCAGCGUUCCGGUUAUUAGUCCAACGCUCUAACCACUAGACUACCCUACCGCCCCAAAUUAACAGGGGCACCUUGUUAAAUUCAUUUGUGGAAUUUCUUUCCUUAAUGCGUUUGAGCCAAUCAGUUGUGUUGUGACAGUGUAGGGGUGGUAUAGAGAAAAUAGCCCUAUUUGGUGAAAGACCAAGUCCAUAUUAUGGCAAGAACAGCUCAAAUAAGCAAAGAGGAACGACAGUCCAUUACUUUAAGACACGAAGGUCAGUCAAUCUGGAAAAUGUCAAGAACUUUGAAAGUUUCUUCAAGUGCAGUUGCAAAAGCCAAGCGCUAUGAUGGAACUGGUUCUCAUGAGGACCGCCACUGGAAAGUUAGUCAGAGUUACCUCUGCUGCAGAGGAUAAGGUCAUUAGAGUUAACUGCACCUCAGAUUGCAUCCCAAAUAAAUGCUUCAGAGUUGAAGUAACAGACACAUCUCAACAUCAACUGUGCAGAGGAGACUGUGUGAAUCAGGCCUUCAUGGUCAAAUUGCUGCAAAGAAACCACCACUAAAGGACACCAAUAAGAGACUUGCUUUUUGCUAAGAAAGGUCAGGGCAGGAAGUAUGGUCAGGCAGGCGGGUUCGGUGUCAGGACGGGCAAGGGUCAAAAACAGGAGGACUAGGAAAAACAGACUGGGAAAAAUUGGAGCUAGGACAUAAACGCUGGUUGACUUGGCAAACAAGACAAACUGGCACAAAGAGACAAAACACAGGUAUAAAUACACCAGGGAUUAUGAGCGACACCUGGUGGGGGUGGAGACAAGCACAAGGACAGGUGAAACAGAUCAGGGCGUGAAAGUAACAUUAACUUAACUGUGUACGCGACCAAUAAACUUUGAUUUGAUUUGACGAAUGUCCUCCAGCUGACUUGGUUCAGGGAAAGUUUUUCCAAUUGAGGCCACUCUCUGCCUGGACGUCUCCCCUCCAAGUGUUUCUGCAACUCCUCUUCACCAUGGGGCUUCCAUUUCAGGGACUCGCAAGGGUGUUGGAGGCCGGUUUUCGUAGGGUGUGUCCAAUCCAACUCCACUUUCUUCUUUCUGUUUGUAGUUCAAUGGGUUCCCGUCCAUUUCUCAAUCAGUGGACUCGGUUCGACAUCUUUGUUAUUGAGGUGGCGUAGUACAGUUGACAUCUGUUUGGUUGAUCUUCAUGUUUCUGAUCCAUACAACAUCACCUGUUUCACAUUUAAGAUGUCCAGUUCUUCAAUUCAGGAUAUAGUCUUAACUUAAAUUCCAAUUCCAAUUUUCCUCAAUGCUUCCUCAAGAAUUUGGAAUUGGAGUUUACUUCCUCAAUUGACUGAAUUGGAAUGGUAUUGACCCCAACCCUGGAUAUCAUUUAUGCACCACAUUCUCCAUGAAUCUAUUACAGAAAUUGAUGCUGUGAUUUAAUAGAUCUACAGAUUUAUAUUAAAACAUCCUAGAAGUGGC
ensembl:lncRNA